UGCAGUCGAGCGAACAGAUAAGGAGCUUGCUCCUUUGACGUUAGCGGCGGACGGGUGAGUAACACGUGGAUAACCUACCUAUAAGACUGGGAUAACUUCGGGAAACCGGAGCUAAUACCGGAUAAGAUUUUGAACCGCAUGGUUCAAUAGUGAAAGACGGCCUUGCUGUCACUUAUAGAUGGAUCCGCGCCGUAUUAGCUAGUUGGUAAGGUAACGGCUUACCAAGGCAACGAUACGUAGCCGACCUGAGAGGGUGAUCGGCCACACUGGAACUGAGACACGGUCCAGACUCCUACGGGAGGCAGCAGUAGGGAAUCUUCCGCAAUGGGCGAAAGCCUGACGGAGCAACGCCGCGUGAGUGAUGAAGGUCUUCGGAUCGUAAAACUCUGUUAUCAGGGAAGAACAAACGUGUAAGUAACUGUGCACGUCUUGACGGUACCUGAUCAGAAAGCCACGGCUAACUACGUGCCAGCAGCCGCGGUAAUACGUAGGUGGCAAGCGUUAUCCGGAAUUAUUGGGCGUAAAGCGCGCGUAGGCGGUUUUUUAAGUCUGAUGUGAAAGCCCACGGCUCAACCGUGGAGGGUCAUUGGAAACUGGAAAACUUGAGUGCAGAAGAGGAAAGUGGAAUUCCAUGUGUAGCGGUGAAAUGCGCAGAGAUAUGGAGGAACACCAGUGGCGAAGGCGACUUUCUGGUCUGUAACUGACGCUGAUGUGCGAAAGCGUGGGGAUCAAACAGGAUUAGAUACCCUGGUAGUCCACGCCGUAAACGAUGAGUGCUAAGUG
rnacentral:rRNA from 1 species